rnacentral:rRNA from 1 species
GAAGACUCGAGUAGGGCGGGACACGUGUAAUCCUGUCUGAACAUGGGGGGACCACCCUCCAAGCCUAAAUACUCGUAUGCGACCGAUAGUGAACUAGUACCGUGAGGGAAAGGUGAAAAGCACCCCGAUGAGGGGAGUGAAACAGUACCUGAAACGGAUUGCCUACAAGCAGUUGGAGGGUCCUUGAGGCCUGACAGCGUACCUCUUGCAUAAUGGGUCUGUGACUUAAUGUAUCAAGCAAGCUUAAGCCGUUAGGUGUAGGCGCAGCGAAAGCGAGUCUGAAUAGGGCGAUUUAGUUAGUUGCAUUAGACCCGAAACCGAGUGAUCUAGCCAUGAGCAGGCUGAAGGUUGGGUAACACCAACUGGAGGGCCGAACCCGUAUCUGUUGCAAUAGAUUGGGAUGACUUGUGGCUAGGGGUGAAAGGCCAAUCAAACUCGGAAAUAGCUGGUUCUCCGCGAAAUCUAUUUAGGUAGAGCGUCGACCGAAUACCCUCGGGGGUAGAGCACUGGAUGGGCUAUGGGGACUCACCGUCUUACUGAUCCUAACCAAACUCCGAAUACCGAGGAGUACUAGUCGGCAGACACACGGCGGGUGCUAACGUCCGUCGUGAAAAGGGCAACAACCCUGACCUCCAGCUAAGGUCCCCAAGUCAUGGCUAAGUGGGAAAGGAUGUGAGGAUCCCAAAACAACCAGGAUGUUGGCUUAGAAGCAGCCAUCAUUUAAAGAAAGCGUAACAGCUCACUGGUCUAAAUAAGAGGUUCUGCGGCGAAGAUGUAACGGGGCUAAAGUGAUGCACCGAAGCUUAGGGUGUGGCGCAAGCCACGCGGUAGCGGAGCGUUCCGUAAGCCUGUGAAGCGAUCUGGUAAUGGGUCGUGGAGGUAUCGGAAGUGCGAAUGCAGACAUGAGUAGCGAUAAAAAGGGUGAGAUGCCCUUUCGCCGAAAGACCAAGGGUUCCUGCGCAAGGCUAAUCCGCGCAGGGUGAGCCGGCCCCUAAGACGAGCCCGAAGGGGGUAGUCGAUGGGAACCACGUUAAUAUUCGUGGGCCUGGUGGUGUGUGACGGAUCUCGUGUGUUGUUCUCCCUUAUUGGAUUGGGAGGGCUUCGAAGAGGUUCCAGGAAAUAGCCCCACCGUAUAGACCGUACCCGAAACCGACACAGGUGGUCAGGUAGAGUAUACCAAGGCGCUUGAGAGAAGUGUCCUGAAGGAACUCGGCAAAUUGCCUCCGUACCUUCGGAAGAAGGAGGCCCUCAUUGUGCGCAAGCAUUUUGAGGGGGCACAGGCCAGGGGGUAGCGACUGUUUAGCAAAAACACAGGGCUCUGCUAAGUCGGCUUCAAGACGACGUAUAGGGCCUGACGCCUGCCCGGUGCCUGAAGGUUAAGUGGAGGGGUGCAAGCUCUGAAAUGAAGCCCAGGUAAACGGCGGCCGUAACGAUAACGGUCCUAAGGUAGCGAAAUUCCUUGUCGGGUAAGUUCCGACCUGCACGAAUGGCGUAACGACUUCCCCACUGUCUCCAGGAC